rnacentral:rRNA from 1 species
CCCUUAGAUGUUCUGGGCCGCACGCGCGCUACACUGAUGCAUUCAACGAGUCUAAAACCUGGUCUGAUAGGGCUGGGUAAUCUUUUGAAUGAGCAUCGUGAUUGGGAUAGAUGAUUGCAAUUCUUCAUCUUCAACGAGGAAUGCCUAGUAAACGCAAGUCAUCAGCUUGCAUUGAUUACGUCCCUGCCCUUUGUACACACCGCCCGUCGCUCCUACCGAUUGAAUGUUCCGAUGAAUACCAUGGACUGAGAGUAUGAAUGGGUUCGCCUAUUUCUGCUUCUCGGGAAGUGGAGUAAAUCUUAACAUUUAGAGGAAGGAGAAGUCGUAACA